CACGCAAUGCAGGCUCUGUAGCUCAUGUGUGCGUGUAUAUGUCUAUAUAUUUAUAUCGAUAUGGUCGUACGCAUAUUAUAUGAUAUAUAUGUUUGCAUAUACUUGUAUGCAUACCUACGCGCAUAUAUAUAUAUAUAUAUAGAGAGAGAGAGAGAGAGAAACAUAUACUUAUAUGCAUACCUACGCGCAUAUAUAUAUAUAUAUAUAUAGAGAGAGAGAGAGAGAGAGAGAGAGAGAGAGAGAGAGAGGAACGUGGAGCUUAACUAUUUCGUGGUGACGUGGAUAAGUACGUGGACAGUUAGUUAUGCAUACCUACGCGCAUAUAUAUAUAUAUAUAUAUAUAUAUAUAUAUAUAUAUAUAUAGAGAGAGAGAGAGAGAGAGAGAGGAACGUGGAGCUUAACUAUUUCGUGGUGACGUGGAUAAGUACGUGGACAGUUAGUUAUUUUCGGUAGUGAUGUGGAUCUUCAUUUUAGCUUUGGAAUCCAGGUAGGGGAAAUAAGGCAAACCUUUACGGAAAUUGAUUUUAUUAAAUUUCGUGAAGUGAUAAUAUUCUUAAUCUUUUUGGUUGAUUAAUGUGGUUGAAUAGUUAUUGACUAAUUGCUUUUGUUAAGUGUUUACUUGUGAUUGGUUAUGGAAUUAUUGCUGAAAUGUUAUUCGUUGAGAAUAUACUAUGAUACAUAUGGAAGAUGAAUUGAUAUUAUUUGUGUCCUUCAUGUUGAUGUGGUGGGAAUUUCAGUAUUCAUAUUGGAAGUAUGGAAAUGAGGGUAGUUGGAAAGGAUCUUUUGUGUAGUUGAAUCUAUUCAUUGUGAAACCAGUUCCAAGCGAGCCCGAUGUGCACAGUAGAAUAGGAUAUCGACGGGAAUUGUCGAUGUGGGUGAUUUGGGCUGGAGAUCAAUGAAUUAGAUAAGAUGACUAGCAAAAGGGGUUUAUGAACUUGGGAUAUCAUAUGGGGGUUAGUUUCUAUAAUAGAACAUUCAAACCACCUCUACAGGGGUAAAAUGCAUGGUAUGGGAUGUGCAGGUUCACGUGUUUUAUUUUAUAAAUUAACGGGGGUAACUGAAGAGGUUGCAUGGCAUUCAUGCAUCGUUAUAAUUGCUGUUUUGAGAUUUGGCUAUAUGAUUUCAUGAUACUUAAUUUAAUAUUGUCAAUUUACUGUGAUAAGGUUAUGUCCCUACUGAGCUAUUGAAGCUCAUCCCUUUAUUAUUAUGCAGGUUUAUGAACUAGACGUUCAAGUGAAUAGGCAAGAUGAGAUCGGAUUAGAUUGGAAGAAUAAAAAUUUUAUUCAUCUCUUUACUGUAGGUUGUAAAGAAUUCUUGAUUUGUUUGAUAAUCAUGAAUUAUUUUUAAUAAGAGGAGUUAUUUUCCAACCCGUGUCAAAUUUUAUUUAUUUAUUGAGCUUUUAACUCACGUUUCAGAUUCGGGUUCGAGUUUUAUUACUGACUCCGGGUCUUGGGCGUGACAGAAUGGUAUCAGAGCAUAGGUAUUAGACACCCAUGGAUAAGAACUAUGGGAGAAGAUUAGCAUAAGCCAGAUAAGUUUGAAUUUAGAAGAGUAUGUGCGAUGGGUUUUGUUAGUAAAGGUUUUGGGUGGCCUCUAGUGAUAUGUAAAGUGUACGAAUAGACUUAAAUGUGAAGUCAGCUUUUGCAAAUGAUCUUGACAAUUGAAUUUAUAUGUGGAUCUUUUGAGAAAGGAAAUUAAGUUUGAUCCAAAAACGAAAAGGAUGAAAGUUAAGCAAUGCAUGCCUAUAACUUUAAGGUGAAUUUUUCAGGUGAAAUGGGUUCAGGAGUGACUAAAGGAUGAGAGAACUUGAAAUGUGGAGUUAAUAGUCAUGAUUUGGUGAGAAUGGUAAGAAACUAAAGUGUUUUGUUUGAGAAGUUAGUGUGUACUCAACUCACUUGACUCUGAACAAUGAAGCAUACAUGAGUAUAUAAGCAAAUUCUACCAAAGGAACUUCUUGAGAAAAUUGGUCAGUUAGUUGAGGGAUUAGAAGCGAUCUUAGAGUUAAGAAUUGAAUGAGACGAGAAUUUGACACGACAUAGAGUUUUGAAAUUUCUGGUGUUAUCUUGAUCUCGAGAAAUGGACAGGUAGGAAGGAUUUUAUGCAAAGGAUUUUAUAAUAAGUUAGUUACAUACAAUCUUGGAAUGAUUGUAUAUGCAGUGUGUAACUACUGAACAAAUUGCCAGAUUUAUUCCUAAGAUGAUAGAAAGAAUUAUGAUCACUUUGGAUUUGUAAUUUUGCAAUGGAGUUAUGAAUUAGCUAGGAUUUAGGUUUGAAUUCAGUGUGGUUCACGAUUUUAGAGAAUCACUUGCAAAAUUUUUGUUAUAUACAGAAUCAUAAUUAUGAAGGAGAAUUAGUGCUUCAAUAUGAGGAUUUGGGUAUUUAUAAACUGAUCAGAAGAAUUUGAGAGUACCUAUAUUGAUGCAGAAGAGUAUUCUACAUGUUUCAGUGUUGAAGAAUUCAAAGCAAUGUAUAAAUGCUUUGUAUAAUGAUAAUUAGGCUUGAAUAAAUAGUAGAGAUGAUGAAAGAUGCUCUAAGAGGAGGGAUGAACUUUGUUUGUCUGUCAGCUAGUUUGAUGAAGAUAUGACAAGUUUUGGAAAUCAAAUUAAGAUGGAGAAAAGAGCAACUGUACUGAUAAUAUCGUCUGUACGGAAUGAGAGUAAUUUUCAAUGAGUAAGAUUCGGUUAAUUUUAAGAAGAAAAAGAAUUAAGGAGUUGAGGAUUUUAGAUGAAAUGAAACCGAUCAAGAAUGGAUCAUGAUACAAUUGGUGUUAAGCUUUUGAAUAAUUAUUGCAAGAAGUUGAUGGUAUUAUGAAAGGUGGUGUAUCACUGGAAGAAAUAAAAGCUUCUUUUUGAAGAUGCAUGGUGGUGAAAAUAAGAGCAAAGGACCUAGAGGGAAUGAAAACCACAAGUAUACACUCUUGGUGAUAUAAGUAUAAAGAAAAAGUGAAAGACAGUAGAGAAAGGGAAAGUGGGAGUGCCAUAAAUUGGUGACUUGGAAUUUAGGAUUUAAUAGGAGUUUGGACUAUUAAAUUUGGACGUGGACUACUACUUGAUUGGAAUGGAGUUACUGGAAUGAGAAUUGUGUUGAAGUUGUCUUGUGGUUAGAAUUGGAAUAGAAGAAAAAGAAAUGGGUUCAAGGUAAAGUGAAGCUUAGGCUUAUUGUUUAACAAAAAGGAAAUAACAAUAACAAAUUGUGGACUUAUAUUACAAGUGAUAUUUCAAAUUAUUGUUAUAGUGUCUCAUAGCUGGUAACUAGCAUCGGAAAGUUUAAUAUGGGCCAGCCAUUGAAUAUUAGACUUAUAUAGAGUUGAUUAUGUUACUGAAGGGAUAUAAAUAUAAGGAUUGCAAUAUUAUUGAAAAUUAAUUUCAGGAUUAUUACAAGAUAUACAAGGAAAAUCGUGAUGUUGGGGAAGUGAAAGGGGUGAAUUUUCUAAAGUGGAUGACAUUGAAAGGUUUCUAAAUCUUAAGGGCGGAGAGUGAGCGAUUAAGGACUGGGAAACUGAAAUAUCAAAUUCGACUUACUGGAGAGAAAUACUUUGAUGUUAGAUUUGAUUGUUAUAAGAUGAAUUCGUACAGCAACAUUUGGCCAUUAAGUAGUAUGAGCAGAUGAUAUUUUACUUUAAGAGAAGUACUUGGAGUAUACAUAUGUUUUGGGGUUUCAAUCCAUGACCAAAGUGUGGAGAUCAAACACACAAGUGUAGUGUUGAAGUUUAGUAUGUUAGGUACACAUAUUUUGAUUGUGAAAAUAAGAUUGGAGAUUUGUUGUGCGAUGGAUAUUUGAACUUUGUUACUACACAACAUUGGAUUGUAUGAUGAAUCAGAUGAAAUCACGAAUAACGUGUGGUAAGAAUAAGAGAAUCAAUGUAGUGAACUAAGUGAUGGGUACCGAAUGAUGUAAACCAUUGAGGCAUCAGAAAUACCACCACAUGUAGCUAUGAUUCCGUUUGGAAACUAUAGUUAGGGUUUGGUUAAAUGCCCUUGUUAGUUACAAGUACUUUUAUGAGAUUGUAAUUAGAGGCAACUGUAGUUGUGGCAAAUUAAGCUUUUGAGAUUGGAGGUGCAGUCAGAAUGAUCCUAUAUACAUAAUGUACCCUAUGAAGAAGUAUUGAUUUGAAUAGUUGAAAGGAAAAUGCUUAGGAAUUGGUAAGUACCUCUUGUGAAGGUUAUAUGGCAAUACCAUGGAACUGAAGAAACCACAUGGGAACUAGACUCCGACAUGAGAAGGAAAUAUUUGCACAAGUUUAAUGUGUUGGGCAAAAUUUGAGGACAAAAUUAGAGAUUAAGAAUCUUUACAAAAUGAUGGAAGAUUGGAUCUUCUUAUUACCUUAAAGGUAAGGUACUACUAGAAAACGACAUGAGAAAUAUGAAGUUGACCAUUCGCAUCAAGGUUAGUGUACGAGUUCAAUAAGCUAUGAAGCCGAGGAAACAAUUUGGGGAUGAGAAUCCGACAUUUAGAUACCCAUCUACAUUUGUUGAGUAGUUCAGUAUUCGGUGGAAUGCACAUGCAGUAUAAAGACUGGAAAGUAUUAGCUAGUUGUUUCUUUUCUUAUUCAUGUAAUCAUUGUCAUUCGCUCGAGUUAAGGGACCAAUUGGCCACCGGAUCUUUGAUACUCUAUAGUGGAAUGUCGGUUGAUUUAUGGAAUAAGAAAUAUAACAUAUAGCAUGCUAAGAAAAUUGUGCAAAGGUACCCUCAAUUUUCUGGAGGUUUAUGUGUGUUUGACUAAGUACUAGAUAUGAACACGAGUAACCAGUUGCUUAAGAUUUCGAAUUUGACUUGGAGAAUUAGAUGAAUCGUUGCGGUACAUGCAACUAUGGAUUGACUUGGAAAUCAAAGUUCGAUCACAGGUGAAAACUUUGGACUUGUCAAGUAAUUGAGGGUUUAAAGUAAAUCUUGAGGACGAGAUUUAUUUCAAGGAGGGCGGAUUGUGAGAUCCCAAGAAUUUAUUACCAAAGAAGAAAAUUAUUUAGAAACUAUUUAUCGAAAAGGUCAUUAUAUGAAGAUAGUAGGAAUUAUUAUGAGCUCGUGGCAUUUUUGAAAUACAUUUCGAAGUUCAUAUGAAUAUAGAAUUUACAGCUGGACCAAUGAAUUGAUGACACAUGGCAGCAAUUGAGUGGCUAAGUUUGCCACAUGGGAUCAACCAACAUGCCAGCACAGACAUUUGUCAUGUUAAUAGCAUGCUAGGUGGAAAGUGAUUAGAUGAGGUAGUCAAAUUACUACACCAAUAUUAAGCAGGAGGUGGCCUUUCUUUACAUGUGGAAGUCUAAAAGUUAAUCAAACUUUCUACAAACCACAGGUGGAAGUAAGUUUACACGUGAAAUACUUCCACCUAUGGUUUGUAGAAAGUUUACAUGCACACAAAGGAGAUGCAAGUGACUCAUGGUUUUAUUAGUAGGACGUGUUUGUAUCAGAGAAACUAUUAUCCAAAGUGGAGAUAAAAAUAUCCAGCAGGUGACUUGCUUAAUGCCCAAGCCUUUAUCUAAUUGGCAUGUAGUUUGUAGCCGCCUCCUAUUGCUAUAAAUAGGAGAUCAUCUCCAUAUGUUUUCGAAGGAGAGCUAGCACGCAAUGCAGGCUCUAUAGCUCAUGUGUGCGUGUAUAUAUGUCUAUAUAUUUAUAUCGAUAUGGUCGUACGCAUAUUAUAUGAUAUAUAUGUUUGCAUAUACUUGUAUGCAUACCUACGCGCAUAUAUAUAUAUAUAUAUAUAGAGAGAGAGAGAGAGAGAGAGAGAGAGAGCGAGGAACGUGGAGCUUAACUAUUUCGUGGUGACGUGGAUAAGUACGUGGACAGUUAGUUAUUUUUGGUAGUGAUGUGGAUAAUAAGGCAAACCUUUACGGAAAUUGAUUUUAUUAAAUUUCGUGAAGUGAUAAUAUUCUUAAUCUUUUUGGUUGAUUAAUGUGGUUGAAUAGUUAUUGACUAAUUGCUUUCGUGAAGUGUUUACUUGUGAUUGGUUAUGGAAUUAUUGCUGAAAUGUUAUUCGUUAAGAAUAUACUAUGAUACAUAUGGAAGAUGAAUUGAUAUUAUUUGUGUCCUUCAUGUUGAUGUGGUGGGAAUUUCAGUAAUCAUAUUGGAAGUAUGGAAAUGAGGGUAGUUGGAAAUGAUCUUUUGUGUAGUUGAAUCUAUUCAUUGUGAAACCAGUUCCAGGCGAGCCCGAUGCGCACAGUAGAAUAGGAUAUCGACGGGAAUUGUCGAUGUGCGUGAUUUGGGCUGGAGAUCAAUGAAUUAGAUAAGAUGACUAGCAAAAGGGGUUUAUGAACUUGGGAUAUCAUAUGGGGGUUAGUUUCUAUAAUAGAACAUUCGAACCACCUCUGUAGGGGUAAAAUGCAUGGUAUGGGACGUGCAGGUUCGUAUGUUUUAUUUUAUAAAUGAACGGGGGUAACUGAAGAGGUUGCAUGGCAUUCAUGCAUCAUUAUAAUUGCUGUUUUGAGAUUUGGCUAUA
rnacentral:lncRNA from 1 species